UGGGGAAUAUUGGACAAUGGGCGAAAGCCUGAUCCAGCCAUGCCGCGUGUGUGAAGAAGGUCUUCGGAUUGUAAAGCACUUUAAGUUGGGAGGAAGGACAUUAACCUAAUACGUUAGUGUUUUGACGUUACCGACAGAAUAAGCACCGGCUAACUCUGUGCCAGCAGCCGCGGUAAUACAGAGGGUGCAAGCGUUAAUAGGAAUUACUGGGCGUAAAGCGCGCGUAGGUGGUUUGUUAAGUUGGAUGUGAAAUCCCCGGGCUCAACCUGGGAACUGCAUUCAAAACUGACUGACUAGAGUAUGGUAGAGGGUGGUGGAAUUUCCUGUGUAGCGGUGAAAUGCGUAGAUAUAGGAAGGAACACCAGUGGCGAAGGCGACCACCUGGACUAAUACUGACACUGAGGUGCGAAAGCGUGGGGAGCAAACA
rnacentral:rRNA from 1 species